rnacentral:siRNA from 1 species
AUGAACCGCUUGAUCUGCCUGAU